AAAUAAGCAACCUAAGCAUGUAUAAUGAAGGAUAUCCCAAAUCGAUCACUAUGGGCCAAUCGAGGGUCAUAACCGCCGGUUAUCAAAGCAUUAACAUCGCAUCCAAAAAGGAGAUUGGUGAGGAGAACACACUUGGAAGUGUUCUGAAUAGUGGGACUGCGAAAAAGAUUCUUGUAUUUUUUAGAGCUAAUUCAGAGUAAUGACCAAAACACGCUUAUUGCUCUAAGCCUAG
rnacentral:lncRNA from 1 species